rfam:Folsomia candida strain VT population Fcan01_Sc001, whole genome shotgun sequence.
GCCUCCGUGGCGCAAACGGCUAGCGCAUUCGGCUGUUAACCGAAAGGUUGGUGGUUCAAGCCCACCCGGGGGCG